GCUGGGCGGCCAGGCUCCCUGGCUGGCCGGUUUGGGCGUCUGGGCCGUGAAGGUGGGACCUCCUGUUCCGGGCCGCAAGUUUCCCUCUCCAGCCGCCCGCCGUUCGUAGCAUGUCCCCCAGAACUCGGGGAGCGCAGGCAGGACAGGCUUAGAGAAGACGCGGUCCCCAGCGCUUGGGCCACGGACGUCCCACCCCGCUCCUCUGUCGCUGGAGAACCGCCGGGCCGAGCCACUGGGAGAAGCAGGCCAGAGCCUUCCAGGGCCUCCGGCCCGUGGACCCGAGGAGGAUGAGCUGGCUUUUUCCCCUGACCAAGAGCGCCUCCUCCUCCGCGGCUGGGUCCCCCGGUGGCCUCACCAGCCUCCAGCAGCAGAAGCAGCGCCUGAUCGAGUCCCUCCGGAACUCACACUCCAGUAUAGCCGAAAUACAGAAAGAUGUGGAAUACAGAUUGCCAUUCACCAUAAACAACCUGACAAUUAACAUUAAUAUAUUGCUUCCUCCACAGUUUCCUCAGGAAAAACCAGUGAUCAGUGUUUAUCCACCAAUACGACAUCACUUAAUGGAUAAACAAGGAGUGUAUGUUACCUCUCCAUUAGUAAACAAUUUUACAAUGCACUCAGAUCUUGGAAAAAUUAUUCAGAGUCUGUUGGAUGAGUUUUGGAAGAAUCCUCCAGUUUUAGCUCCUACUUCAACAGCAUUUCCUUAUCUAUACAGUAACCCAAGUGGGAUGUCUCCUUAUGCUUCUCAGGGUUUUCCAUUUCUUCCUCCAUAUCCUCCACAAGAAGCAAACAGGAGUAUCACUUCUUUAUCUGUUGCUGACACUGUUUCUUCUUCAACAACAAGUCAUACCACAGCCAAGCCUGCCGCUCCUUCAUUUGGUGUCCUUUCAAAUCUGCCAUUACCCAUUCCCACAGUGGAUGCUUCAAUACCGACAAGCCAAAAUGGUUUUGGGUACAAGAUGCCAGAUGUCCCUGAUGCAUUUCCAGAACUCUCAGAACUAAGUGUGUCACAACUCACAGAUAUGAAUGAACAAGAGGAGGUAUUACUAGAACAGUUUCUGACUUUGCCUCAACUAAAACAAAUUAUUACCGACAAAGAUGACUUAGUAAAAAGUAUUGAGGAACUAGCAAGAAAAAAUCUCCUUUUGGAGCCCAGCUUGGAAGCCAAAAGACAAACUGUUUUAGAUAAGUAUGAAUUACUUACACAGAUGAAGUCCACUUUCGAAAAGAAGAUGCAAAGGCAGCAUGAACUUAGUGAGAGCUGUAGUGCAAGUGCCCUUCAGGCAAGAUUGAAAGUAGCUGCACAUGAAGCUGAGGAAGAAUCUGAUAAUAUUGCAGAAGACUUCUUGGAGGGAAAGAUGGAAAUAGAUGAUUUUCUCAGUAGCUUCAUGGAAAAGAGAACAAUUUGCCACUGUAGAAGAGCCAAGGAAGAGAAACUUCAGCAGGCGAUAGCAAUGCACAGCCAAUUUCAUGCUCCACUAUAGAUUUUCCUGGAAACAUGAACUGCCAAGAGAGGAAUGGGACACAAAACCAAACACUGUUUUAUAUUUAUGGUUUGCAAACUGGCAUUUCAUCAGUGGCUAAAUUCACAGAUAUCCUAUAUAGAUUGUAUACAGAACUGAGACUGAUUUUGUACCGAUUAGAAUGAUUGCUAUGAUCUUUGAGAAAUUUUUCUGCACUAUUUGCACUGAAAUGUUUAUUUAUUGUUGAUAAAUUGUAUCAUAUUUAAGUUCCACUGCUGUUCCUCUUACCUUGAUUAAAUGCCUAUGCAUGUACUUUUAGCUAGUUUUUAAUAUUUUAUAAAACUUCAUUUAAAUUUGUAUUUUUAACUUGAAGUUCCAUUUCUUUAUCAAGGAUGGUAUUUAGAUUUUUUUCCUCUUAACCUUUUUUCAAAAACUAUUUUCAACUGUGAGGAAACCCUUAUUUUUCUUUCUUUGUGGAUAAAACUUUCAAAAGCAAUUUAAGAUAUUCAUAGUGUUAGGAAACACCAAACCUGCCUAUGUGCCAUCUCACAAAAGAAACUUUUAAUACCUACAAUAAAUCAAAAGAAUAAACCAGCUGUUCUUAUAUAUUGUUUCAUUUUUAAAACUAAAGAUGCAUUUAAGAAGCAAUACAAGUAAAUAUUUUACCUAAUAGGAAAAAAAAAAGUUGCCUUUCAUUUAAACCAUUCCAACAGAAAUUCUUAUGCUAAUUUAAAACAUAUAUAUAUCUGGUAGGUUUGUGGUUGGAUAGGUUUUCUAAAUUCCUAAUGUUAAAAACAAUCUUUAUGUUAAUAUACACUAAAUCUAUACACAAAAAAAGUCAGUGAACUUUUCUGACCUUUACUGUGAGUUACCUUUUCCUAAGAGGAAAGCUAUAGUAAUAAGUAAAAUUUAAUUUUUAGGCAAUCCUGAUUUUUAAUGAAUUUAAUUGAGUGUUCUUGUAUACUACAUUGAGCAGUUUGCUUCUAUACCGUGUCACAAAAUUCAUGUAUUUCUUGAGAAGCCCUAAAAGCUCAUAAAGGAAAAUGCCGUGAACUAUGUAGCUCAGGCUUGGUAAGGUGCCAUCUAAAUUACAAAACAAACUAAUGCAUAAUUUUGCUUAAAUUUCAUCCCAGUAUGAUUGUCUUCCCAACACCAGCAUAUAGUAUAGAUUGUCUGUCUUUUUUAUAUUUUUUAGUUCUUCCUGUACAUGUUUUUGGCAAUAAAGUUAUAGGAAGAACAAAAUUAUUUUGUUAGAAUUAAAACAUGCUUAAUAUUUAGUCUGUUUGUGGAGGGCAGGUAUUCACGUGGACUGAGAUACAAUGUUGGAUACAGAAAAUAACUUUCAUUGUCUUCCUGACACUGUGCUAAGGACAUGCUGUUAAAGCUUCAAAGUGACCAGAUGAGGAAGGAAUAAUUAAUUAUUACUCCUGAUUUGUAGAUAACUGAGACAUACACUGUCAAACGGAAGAAAUUAAAGCCACAUCCUCAAUAUUAGGCAACAGAGUUUCUAAGAGUGGACAGCUCCAAGAAGGUUGUGAAGGCCUCUAGUUCUUCCUCUAGCUGCUGAGUUUCUUCCUUCACUGCCAUUAGGUAAUCUGUAACUGACUGUCGGGGCUGCAUCCCCUUUUCAAAGCGGUUAUACAUUCCACUCCAAAACCUGGAAAGGAUGGCAAAGCGUCGUGAUACCACCUUAUCACAGUCUGAAAAUUCACAUCCUCAAGUCUUCUAAGGUAUCUAUGAUACCACAGUCUUAAUAAUAACCAAAUGCAAAUUUCAGCCUCAAAAAAGCCACUACUUAAGAGCCUGCAUUUCCCAUCAAGACAGCCCACUUCCCGGGCUCCCAGCUCCAGCUCUCCAGGGCUUUCCCCAGAAGCGCAGACAGUGCAUGGACAGCCAAGGCACAAGGCCAUGGUUUCUGCAUCCUCUGUCUUUUCCCAGUUCGCAGAGCCGGAAGUGGUAGACUACAGCGACAGAUUCCUCUUGGGGUCACUGUGAUCACAAGGAGCAGAAGCAGCGGACUAAGCUGGUUUUGCUUGAAAUGCAGAAUUUCUGCUCAUCAGCAUAUGGCUGGUUGGCCACAUGAAUAACUCUUCUCUAUUACAUAAUCCAUCUCUUUAAUUUCCUGUCCACACGAGUAUAUAAGUCUGUGGGUACGUGUCUUGUCAUGUUCGCCAUAUAUGUCAAAGUGUGUGUGGAGGUGGCGGGAGGUUACAUGCAUGUGUAUUGUGGUGGCUGCUGUUUAGAAAUGAGGGUCAGCUCCUCCGAUAUUCUCCCUUCGAAUGGCCAUUCAGCAAGGAUCAGUUUUUGAGCCUGAUCUCCAUACAAGAAUGGUUGGUUAUUGCUUUAAAUGUAGGAUUGCCUUAUUCCUAAAUGGCCUUGAAUGGGGAUCAAACUAACAUUAUGAGGAAGAAACAAAAACAUCCCUGUGCACUUUGACCUUAGAUGUUCAGUACCAUUGUAGAGUCCCUGACUGCUAACCACCAAGCGACAAAACCACAUCACAGUGAUGCUUACAAAUAAGAGAAACGUUCUUAAGUGUUUAAAAAGCCACUGUAACAUGAUAUUCUUCCCAAAUUAUCACACCUAUGUAAAAACAUUUUAAAAUCAAGACUAUCUUAUUCCCUUUUGGCAUCAAAAUACUUAACUGCAUUUUAAUGCUGUGCAUAAGGAAAUGGUUUACCUUCCAGCAUUUUCUGCAGACUGUUCCUCAUGACAUGGAUGUUCUCUAUCCCGAUAAACUGAAACUUGAUAUUGGAAUAAUUGUCUUCAUUCUCAUAGCCUUUCCCUGCAGCACGAUUUGCCAUUGCAUUAAGCUGCAGUGGUCAGCAAAACAGAACAGUCAUCAAUUACAUUGAUGAAACAAUGAUGAAACAACCAAAACAUUUCAUGGAUACCCAAUCAAAGCAUUCAGAAUGAUGUACGGAAACAUAAUACGCUUAUUUGAAUCACUGCAACCUUGUACUGAACUACAUAGCUUCAGGGACUCCUGCUGAGCUUAUAUUCAACAGCAUGAAUUUGUCAGUGUGGGUCACAUUUUCUUAGCUGGAAAGCAGUCUACUGAUAAACCCUUCUGGAGAUGUCACUUGCAGUCCCCGUCAGAGAUGCCAAACUGAAUGUGGAAUUCUGUGAUGGAACCAAGUAGUCCAAUUUAAUACCACACAUAACCGGUAGGUUGGCAGAAGAAUAUCAGCAGAAACAGCUGUCAAAAUAAGGCUCUAUACAUUAUUAUAUCUUCUAGUAUUAGAUUGCCAAUAAACACGUUAUCAAAUAGGAAUGGUUGCAUCAUUCUAAUUUGCCCACAAGAUCCCUCAGAUGCCCAGUUAAACCUUGAGCAGGAAUUACUGAAUAAAAUGAAGAGAGGGAAUGCAACCAAGUCUCCAGAGACAUUUCCACCAGCCGCCUUAUUUAAAUCUAGAGAUCUAUUGGGCUUUUUGAUCACUUUCAUUAUUAUAAUUUUGCAUAUGAGAAGUUGGGGUCUCCAAGUGCAAACUAGGUUAAGUCACAGUGGUAUCUGAAGAAGUUUAUUAAAUCCAAACACUGUCCUAGCCUGCGUGGCUAAAAUCAAGAAGGGGACAAGUCCUACUUUAGCUGGGAAAUGCAUCGGUUUCUAGAAUGUGUAAACAUUCUUGCUAUUUUAUUAAGCAGGUCAUCACAUCCUAGAAAACAGCAUUCGCUGACCAUUCUCCUCCUCCACCCACCAAGGACAGGAGGGCUAACCCAGGCAGAGAACCUACACUGAGAACUCACCACCAGAAAAAAAUAUCUGCUUUUAAAAGCACAGUGCACAAUAGUACUUUUUAAAAGCUAAAAGAGCUAAGUUUAAAGUUAAAGACACAUAUGUUCUUUGACACAGAUCUCCUAAAAGUCUGACAAAAUUAAAAGUACCAGCACAUAAAAAUAGAUGCCCAAGAAUGUUUAUUGAAAAAAGCUGAAAACCCAUGACUAUCUCAAUAGGACAAUGACAGGAUACACAAUGGUUUAUCAUGCCCUGACCUGCGAGCAGUGACCAAGAAGGAGGGCACAGAUCACACAGCAGACAGACAGAUGCUCUGAGGCUUACGAUGGGGUUAUAUCAUGAUGAGCCCAUUGGAAGUUGAAAAUGCCGUAAGUGAAAAGUGCAUGGCAAACUGGGAGCUGCUGCCGCUGCUGCUGCCCAGCAUCACAAGAGAAGUACACUUUCUGAAUGUCUAUUGCUUUUGCACCAUUGUAAAAAGCCACAAAAUCAUAUAGGUCGAACCAUUAAGUCAGAGACCCUCUGUGCAUAGACUUGGCAUUGGCCCAUGACAAGUGAAAAGAGUAAGCUACAGAAUAAUAUUCAUACAAUCAUCCAUUUUUAUAAAACCAACUUAUAGAUAUGUAUUUAAGUUUUUGCGUGUUUAUCAAGCAGAAUAAAAAUGUAUAGAAAACGGUACCAAUUUGGCAGCAAUUACAGCAGAAAGACAGCAUGGCAGGCGACAGGAGAAUGCCAUCAGUACUACUUUGGAUGCCCCUGUAAUCUUUCAUUGAUACCGAGAGCAUAUAUGAAGUUUGUAAUUGAAAUAAUAGAAAUAAAGUAUAUUAGAAGUGAAAAAAACAGCAGAGGAUAAGCCAUUGCCAUAGGAGCCCAGGCUGGCAGACACCUCACAUUUCAAUAGCAGCCCUGCUCCAUGACGUGGCUUAUGUGACAUCAGCUGGGCCACAUCAGCCCCUCAGGACACUGUUCCCAUCCACAAAAGGGUGUCAUCUUUCUCCCAGGCAUGCUACGAGAAUAAAGAGUUUGGCCUUAAUCAAGAAAAAAAUAUUAAAAUAAUGCAUUUUAAGACAACUUAUGUUCACACUUUAAGAAGUAUAAAUAUUUUAUAGGGAAAACUUUUGUAAAAUUACCUAUAGACAUUGUUCUUCCAAAACUAAUAAAAUAUCACUGCUUUGUAUAAUUAUUUUUCAAAGAUGUUGGUUUAUCCUUUAUAACAAGCAUCAUAAAUAAAAUUAAUAGGAGAUUUGAAAGUA